rnacentral:sRNA from 1 species
CGACCUGUUGUGGACAGAUAAAAUGUAUAUGUGAAUCUAUACCACCGGCGGUCAAUAUCUGCCCUUCUCCAGCAAUCACCUCAGUGCCCGGUCCAAUAACGAUGCUAACCGCCGCCUGGGUAUCGGGAUUGCCUGCCUUGCCUAUGCCCGCUAUACGUCCAUCCUUGAUGCCGACAUCCGCCUUAACAAUGCCCCAGUGAUCCAGAAUCAGGGCAUUGGUAAUGACCACAUCAACCACGUCAGCAGAGAUUCUUUGACUCUGCCCCAUACCAUCACG